CCCUACGGGGUGCAGCAGGCGCGGAACCUUUACAAUGCACGCAAGUGUGAUAGGGGAAUCCCAAGUGCUUAUGCUUAGCAUAGGCUUUUGCCAAGGUUAAAACUCUUGGCGAAUAAGUGGUGGGUAAGACUGGUGCCAGCCGCCGCGGUAACACCAGCGCCACAAGUGGCAAUCGCGUUUAUUGGGCCUAAAGCGUCCGUAGCCGGUUCGGCAAAUCCUUUGUGAAAUCGUCAGGCUUAACUUGACGAAUGGCAGAGGACACUACCGAACUUGGGACCGGGAGGAGUCAGAAGUAUUCCGGGGGGACCGGUAAAAUGGUAUAAUCCCCGGAGGACUACCGAUGGCGAAGGCAUCUGACCAGAACGGAUCCGACGGUGAGGGACGAAAGCUAGGGGAGCAAACCGGAUUAGAUACCCGAGUAGUCCUAGCCGUAAACGCUGUGAGUUAGGUGUUGCACAAACUACGGGUUUGUGCAGUGUCGAAAGGAAGCUGUUAAACUCACCGCCUGGGAAGUACGGUCGCAAGACUGAAACUUUAAGGAAUUGACGGGGGAGCACCACAAGGGGUGCAGCGUGCGGUUUAAUCUAACUCAACGCAGAGAACCUCACUAGGGGCGACGGCAGGAUGAAGGUCAGUCUGAAGGGCUUACCUGACGAGCCGAGAAGAAGUGCAUGGCCC
rnacentral:rRNA from 1 species